GCAUAUCAAUAAGCGGAGGAAAAGAAACCAACAGGGAUUGCCUUAGUAACUGCGAGUGAAGCGGCAAGAGCUCAAAUUUGAAAUCUGGCACCUUCGGUGUCCGAGUUGUAAUUUGUAGAAGCAUCUUUUGGAUUGGUCCUUGCAUAUGUUCCUUGGAACAGGACAUCAUAGAGGGUGAGAAUCCCGUUCAUGGUGGGGAAUCCAAUUCUUUGUAAAGUGCUUUCGAAGAGUCGAGUUGUUUGGGAAUGCAGCUCUAAGUGGGUGGUAAAUUCCAUCUAAAGCUAAAUAUUGGCGAGAGACCGAUAGCGAACAAGUACAGUGAUGGAAAGAUGAAAAGAACUCCGAAAGGAGAGUGAAAAAGGACGUGAAAUUGUUGAAAGGGAAGUGCUUGAGAUCAGUCUUAAGGUUUAGUGAUCAGUCUUCCUUUUGGUUGGUGCACUCACUAUUUCUUAGGCCAACAUCAGUUUUGGCGGCAGGAUAAUGACAUUGGAAUGUGGCUCUUUCGGGAGUGUUAUAGCCUUUGUUGAUACUGCCUGCUUGGACUGAGGACCGCGCUUUUGCUAGGAUGUUGGCAUAAUGAUCUUAAGCAGC
rnacentral:rRNA from 1 species